AUUGAACGCUGGCGGCAUGCCUUACACAUGCAAGUCGAACGGCAGCACGGGUGCUUGCACCUGGUGGCGAGUGGCGAACGGGUGAGUAAAUAUCGGAACGUACCUUAUCGUGGGGGAUAACGCAGCGAAAGCUGCGCUAAUACCGCAUACGCCCUGAGGGGGAAAGCGGGGGACCGUAAGGCCUCGCGCGAUUAGAGCGGCCGAUACCUGAUUAGCUAGUUGGUGAGGUAAAGGCUCACCAAGGCAACGAUCAGUAGCUGGUCUGAGAGGACGAUCAGCCACACUGGGACUGAGACACGGCCCAGACUCCUACGGGAGGCAGCAGUGGGGAAUUUUGGACAAUGGGGGCAACCCUGAUCCAGCAAUGCCGCGUGAGUGAAGAAGGCCUUCGGGUUGUAAAGCUCUUUUGUCAGGGAAGAAACAGCAGCUCUAACACAGUCUGCGAAUGACGGUACCUGAAGAAUAAGCACCGGCUAACUACGUG
rnacentral:rRNA from 1 species